GGGGAUAUAGCUCAGUUGGUAGAAUGCUUGCCUUGCAUGCAAAGGGCCCUGGGUUCUAAUCCCCAGCACCACCA
rnacentral:tRNA from 1 species